rnacentral:rRNA from 1 species
AAAGAAACUAACGAGGAUUCCGUUAGUAACGGCGAGUGAAGCGGGAAGAGCUCAAAUUUGAAAUCUGGUGGCCUCAGGUCAUCCGAGUUGUAAUCUAUAGAAGUGUUUUCCGUGCUGGCUCAUGUACAAGUCCCUUGGAACAGGGCGUCAUAGAGGGUGAGAAUCCCGUCCUUGACAUGAACUACCAGUGCUCUGUGAUACAUUUUCAACGAGUCGAGUUGUUUGGGAAUGCAGCUCAAAAUGGGUGGUAAAUUCCAUCUAAAGCUAAAUAUUGGCGAGAGACCGAUAGCG